GAAUUAGAAAAACCUAACUUAGAAACAGAUCGAUUUGCACCGAUUAAAACCCAAAGUGAAGAGAAGAGGAGAGCAUCUUCUAUUCGCCAGGAUAUAGCUUUUCCUCUGCAGGGGCCUUGUGCAGUAAACCCCUUACGAUUUGGGUCGUCCGUCGUCGUAAAGUAGUCCUCGUGAAGCUUUCGGGAAGAGGGGUAGUCUUGUGUGUAAGCAUAGCAUUUCUGGUUGAACUCGCCCAACCCAACUAAGAAGAACCGAACCUAACAGACACAUCUUUUUCCUUUUGGGAGGGUGCUCCGAGCAGCUUUCACCUCUGUCAUCCAUUUAUCCAUUCAUCUCUAGUUCUCCACCUCAGAAGAUUCUCCUCAAUUUAAAGAGUUUAAGGCAUGGAUGGACCGCGCGAACCUUCAGCUUUUAAACAAAGUGAUGGUAAUGAGAUGGAAUACAAGGGAAUUCAGUAUGAUAAGUUGUCUACAUAAGACAUUAAAGGACAGAAAUUUAAGACUACGGAGGAAGCCGAGUCUUUUUACUACGCUUAUGCAAAGGUCAUGGGUUUUGGUGUUAGACAGAACUACAAGAGACUUAGUACAAUCACACCAGGGAAAAUCACAAGUACAUGCCAAAAGGGGUCGUGGUCGACCUCCUGGCUCGACGAACAAGAAAAAAUAGAAUGAAGAACAAUGACUAGACCAGAUUGAAGCAUUUUAAGUUUCUUUUACCUGAAAGGAAGCUUUUUAUUUAGUUUGACCAUCUUUCAGCUAGUUUUAGAGAUGACAAUUUUUUUACUUUGACUUUGGUACUUUUGAGUUUGUGUUAUUUUUACUUUCCAAUCACUUUCUGGGUCAUUGACAUACU